rnacentral:lncRNA from 1 species
AUUCUUUCUCUACGUGACUCUUCUAAUGGAUUGCUGUUUCCGCUGCAUUUGUUGAUCUAAAACUUGUUGUCUAUUGUAUUCUAUUAGAUUUUUCCCUGUUGAAGACUAACGAUAAUUUGUUGUAUAUUAUCUUAGUCAUAAUAUUCUUUACUGGGCUAGUUGAGCUCACCCUUUUCCUUUUUGUUCCAUUUUCUUCUCAGGAGGUGAGAACAUAGCAGGAUCGAGUCGGGGUAUGGAGUGAUGGUUCUAGGAAGAUGUUUUAGC